rnacentral:misc_RNA from 1 species
AAGACUAUAGACCUGCGGAGUACCUGCGGAAGGAUCAUUACCGAGUUUACAAAACUCCCAAACCCUUUGUGAACCUUACCUAUCGUUGCUUCGGCGGGACCGCCCCGGCGCCCUCGCGGCCCGGAACCAGGCGCCCGCCGGAGGCCCCAAACCCUCAUGUCUUUAGUGGUUUCCUCCUCUGAGUGACAUAAACAAAUAAAGUAAAAACUUUCAGCAAUGGAUCUCUAGAUCGGAAGAGCA